rnacentral:rRNA from 1 species
GACGAACGCUGGCGGCGUGCCUAAUACAUGCAAGUCGAGCGGACUUUCAAGAAGCUUGCUUUUUGAAAGUUAGCGGCGGACGGGUGAGUAACACGUGGGCAACCUGCCUGUAAGACGGGGAUAACUCCGGGAAACCGGGGCUAAUACCGGAUAAUAUCUUUCUUCGCAUGAAGGAAGGUUGAAAGGCGGUGCAAGCUGCCGCUUGCAGAUGGGCCCGCGGCGCAUUAGCUAGUUGGUGAGGUAACGGCUCACCAAGGCGACGACGCGUAGCCGACCUGAGAGGGUGAUCGGCCACACUGGGACUGAGACACGGCCCAGACUCCUACGGGAGGCAGCAGUAGGGAAUCUUCCGCAAUGGACGAAAGUCUGACGGAGCAACGCCGCGUGGGCGAAGAAGGUCUUCGGAUCGUAAAGCUCUGUUGUCGGGGAAGAACAAGUACCGUUCGAAUAGGGCGGUACCUUGACGGUACCUGACCAGAAAGCCACGGCUAACUACGUGCCAGCCGCCGCAGUAA